UUCUGAAUAUUUAGACAUACGUCUCUGAAUGUUUUUACAUAAAACAUCCUAGCACAAUAUUUGUAAUUUCAUUGUGACUGUUUUUAGGCAUGAAUCAGUUUGUUUUUGUAAACAACCAAUAGGCUGCACCGACUUUGUGGACGCUUAGAAUUUGAGCAUUGCCCACGGCAAUAUUGAAUUCACAAGCAGUAAACAACUAUUUCACGAGGCAUUUAGCUAAAAGUAAUCCAUCAAGAUGUGCUGCGACGGUUGUUCCACUCUAAUUCCUAUCCGUAGACCAUGCUGUGAGCCGUGCUGUGGUCCCAGCUUUGGCUCUUGCUGCGGACCGUGCGGUCCCUGUGGUCCUUGUGGCUGUUCACCGUGCUAUGCACCGUGUGGGGCCUGCUGUGGCGGUUGUGGGCCUUGCUGUUAGCAUUAUCUUCGGAUCAAAACAAAGUCCCUUGAAAAGCCACCCAACAAAUUAAUUGUGCAUUUUAAUAAAGAAAAUGUAAAUUUAAUUCACAAA
rnacentral:sRNA from 1 species